rnacentral:lncRNA from 1 species
GUUUAGAAUUUGAAUCUUAAAUUCCUGAAUUUCCUUUUCGGCGACGAAUACAGACUUCCCACAAGAAGCUGAAUUUCCUCUAUAAAUCAGAACAAAGCAAAGCACUGAACCAGAAUUACUCACUAAGAAGCUCUUAAGUUCUUUUUGCUUUCUACUCGAAUCAAAUCUUCCAUUAAUCCCUUGAUUUCAUUAAUAACAGAAGAAUAACUCGAAAUCAUCAACCGGAUCCACCAUGAAUUCAUGCAACAAUGGAAAUCCGUCUCUAUGCGCAAGGGAUGCGGUUUCUACGGC